UGGUGGAGUGAUUUGUCUGGUUUAUUCCGUUAACGAACGAGACCCGUGCCUGCUAAAUAAUGACGUGUGUGGCUUGCCACAAACUGUCGUUUCUUAGAGGGACCUGCAUUCAUUCAGCUGAAGGAAGAAAGGGGCAAUAACA
rnacentral:rRNA from 1 species